rnacentral:rRNA from 1 species
UACGGGAGGCAGCAGUGGGGAAUAUUGCACAAUGGGCGCAAGCCUGAUGCAGCCAUGCCGCGUGCAUGAAGAAGGCCUUCGGGUUGUAAAGUACUUUCAGUCGUGAGGAAGGUGUUAAGGUUAAUAACCUUAGCAAUUGACGUUAGCGACAGAAGAAGCACCGGCUAACUCCGUGCCAGCAGCCGCGGUAAUACGGAGGGUGCGAGCGUUAAUCGGAAUUACUGGGCGUAAAGGGCACGCAGGCGGUUAAUUAAGUUGGAUGUGAAAUCCCCGGGCUUAACCUGGGAAUGGCAUUCAAGACUGGUUAGCUAGAGUCUUGUAGAGGGGGUAGAAUUCCAUGUGUAGCGGUGAAAUGCGUAGAGAUGUGGAGGAAUACCGGUGGCGAAGGCGGCCCCUGGGACAAAGACUGACGCUCAUGUGCGAAAGCGUGGGGAGCAAACAGGAUUAGAUACC